rnacentral:rRNA from 1 species
UACAGAGACUGCAAGCGUUAUUCGGAUUCACUGGGCGUAAAGGGUGCGCAGGCGGUUGGGUGUGUCAGAUGUGAAAUCCCGAGGCUUAACCUCGGAACUGCGUCUGAAACUACUCGACUAGAGUACUGGAGAGGGAAACGGAAUUCACGGUGUAGCAGUGAAAUGCGUAGAUAUCGUGAGGAACACCAGAGGCGAAGGCGGUUUCCUGGACAGUUGCUGACGCUCAGGCACGAAAGCGUGGGGAGCAAAAGGG